rnacentral:ncRNA from 2 species
UAACGGGGAGCUUUAUAGCUGAGAGGUUACUUUGUAACGACCCAUAACCUGAUCUGGAUAAUGCCAGCGUAGGGAUGCUAUA